rnacentral:snoRNA from 1 species
CCUGCACAUUAUUGCAGCUUGGAGUUGAGGCCACUAGCUGGCCAAUGAACUAACAAGUGUAUGUAGUGUGUUACAUGAGGGGCAUGUCCUUUGCAAAUACCUAUAAGUGUCUCUGGUCCAAUGAGUGGAAUUUGAUAGUAAUUAUUGCUACAAGU